rnacentral:rRNA from 1 species
UACGUAGGGUGCAAGCGUUGUCCGGAAUUAUUGGGCGUAAAGAGCUUGUAGGCGGUUUGUCGCGUCUGCUGUGAAAUUUCGGGGCUCAACCCCGAACUUGCAGUGGGUACGGGCAGACUAGAGUGUGGUAGGGGAGACUGGAAUUCCUGGUGUAGCGGUGAAAUGCGCAGAUAUCAGGAAGAACACCCGUGGCGAAGGCGGCUUCUGGGACGGUACUGACGCUGAGACGCGAAGCGUGGGGAGCGAACAGG